CCUACGGGCGGCAGCAGUGAGGAAUAUUGGUCAAUGGACGAGAGUCUGAACCAGCCAAGUAGCGUGAAGGAUGACUGCCCUAUGGGUUGUAAACUUCUUUUAUAUGGGAAUAAAAUGUUCCACGUGUGGGAUUUUGUAUGUACCAUAUGAAUAAGGAUCGGCUAACUCCGUGCCAGCAGCCGCGGUAAUACGGAGGAUCCGAGCGUUAUCCGGAUUUAUUGGGUUUAAAGGGAGCGUAGGUGGAUUGUUAAGUCAGUUGUGAAAGUUUGCGGCUCAACCGUAAAAUUGCAGUUGACACUGGCAGUCUUGAGUACAGUAGAGGUGGGCGGAAUUCGUGGUGUAGCGGUGAAAUGCUUAGAUAUCACGAAGAACUCCGAUUGCGAAGGCAGUUCACUGGACUGCAACUGACACUGAGGCUCGAAAGUGUGGGUAUCAAACAGGAUUAGAUACCCGUGUAGUC
rnacentral:rRNA from 1 species